rnacentral:tRNA from 8 species
GUUCCCGAGCGGCCAAAGGGAGCAGACUGUAAAUCUGCCGUCAUCGACUUCGAAGGUUCGAAUCCUUCCCCCACCACCA